UGAGAGCUAGGCAUGGUUGUGAUACCC
rnacentral:piRNA from 1 species